rnacentral:rRNA from 1 species
UACGUAGGGUGCAAGCGUUAAUCGGAAUUACUGGGCGUAAAGCGUGCGCAGGCGGUUGUGCAAGACCGAUGUGAAAUCCCCGGGCCUUAACCUGGGAAUGGCAUUGGUGACUGUACGGCUAGAGUGUGUCAGAGGGGGGUAGAAUUCCACGUGGUAGCAGUGAAAUGCGUAGAGAUGAUGGAGGAAUACCGAUGGCGAAGGCAGCCCCCUGGGAUAACACUGACGCCUCAUGCACGAAAGCGUGGGGAGCAAACAGG